rnacentral:sRNA from 1 species
CUGAGUGUUUUUUAUACAAAACCCGUAAAAAAUCCGACAGAUGUGCUUAUACAUUGAUUUAAGACAGAAAAAACCACGGCUAAAGGGAUCGAUUGGUUUACUUAUUAGCAGUUCUGGGUAACAUGUAGACCGGCAAAUUCUUCGAGCUCGAAGAA